rnacentral:rRNA from 1 species
ACAAGUGAAACUGCGAAUGGCUCAUUAAAUAAGUUAUAAUUUAUUUGAUCUUAUCUUACCAGUGGAUAUCCGUGGUAAUUCUAGAGCUAAUACAUAUACGCGAAGAGCCGACUUCUGGAAGGCUUGUAUUUAUUAGAUAAAAAACCAAUGUGGGUAACCACUUCUUUGGUGAUUCAUAGUAACUUUACUGACCUCUUUUUGAGGCGUAUCAUAAAAAUUUCUUCCCUAUCAACUUUUGAUGGUAAGGUAGUGGCUUACCAUGGUUUUUACGGGUGACGGGGAAUAAGGGUUCGAUUCCGGAGAGGGAGCCUGAGAAACGGCUACCACAUCCAAGGAAGGCAGCAGGCGCGCAAAUUACCCAAUCCUGAUACAGGGAGGUAGUGACAAUAAAUAACGAUCUAGGGCCCUUUGGGUCAUAGAAUUGGAAUGAGUACAAAUUAAAACUAUUAACGAGGAACAAUUGGAGGGCAAGUCUGGUGCCAGCAGCCGCGGUAAUUCCAGCUCCAAUAGCGUAUAUUAAAGUUGUUGCAGUUAAAACGCCCGUAGUCGAACUUUUAGGAUCAUGAGAGGUUGAUGGCAGGUUUUUGCAUUCAUUUGUAGAGAUUUGUCUUGAUCUUUUGGGGUUCUAAUACGUUAUAUCUCUAGUCUUUGGGCCUAAAUGUUGCCUUUAUUGGUAGUGUUUAGGUCAUUUCUCUUAGGAGAGGGCUAGGGAUGAUUACUUUGAAAAAAUUAGAGUGUUCAAAGCAGGCUUUAGUCUGAAUACAUUAGCAUGGAAUAAUAAAAUAAGACUUUGGUUUUAUUUUGUUGGUUUCUAAAACUGAAGGAAUGAUGAAUAGGGUUGGUUGGGGUCAUUAGUAUUUUAUUGCUAGAGGUGAAAUUCUUGGAUUUGUGAAAGACUAACUUCUGCGAAAGCAUUUGACAAGGACAAUCUCAUUGAUCAAGGACGAAAGUUGGGGGAUCGAAGAUGAUUAGAUACCGUCGUAGUCUCAACCAUAAACUAUGCCAACUAGGGAUCAGGGCUCUAUUUAAUCGAGAGACUUGGCACCUUGUGAGAAAUCAAAGUUU